CGGCAACGAUUAAAUUUGUACCGCCUUCAGACACGGGGGAUGAAGACAGACAGCCAGAAAACGUACGUAAACGUAAAGAAACGAGGGAAAGAAAAAACCGACGCCUAGUAAAUGGAAAAAUAUUAAAAUUUCAACGAGGACAAAGCAUCUAGUACAUAUACAGGGUGUUUCAGUUGUAUCCGGUCGAACGACCGAUUUAACACGUUGACUGCCACGGCACCCGUAUUCGGGUGUUGCUUAUUUGACUACUUGCGAAGGAUCGUCGUAGGUAUUUGAAGAUAUUCCAUAAUAAUAAAACUGCUGAAUUGUUAUGAAAGUAAUACGAAAAUGGUUUAUUAAAAAAUUAUUUAGUAUGUAAAACUUUAAAGCAUUCUAUACAUAGCCGAGAUUAGUCGGGACAAUUUGGACAAUAAGCUAUUGUUUUCUUCAAAUUCUUCUGCGCCUUUGU
rnacentral:misc_RNA from 1 species